UUGACAAAAUAAUAUGUGAGAUGGAUGCUAUUUUAUCAUGUAAGCAAAGUUAACAGCGAUUACAAGGUAUUUCUUUUCAUUUCUUUAAAGUGUUUUAUGCAUCGUCUGUACGUAGUCAUAAUUUAGCUCAUAAAUAGACCGACUACGAAUAAACCACGUUUAGCCCAGAAAUAACCAUGAAUUUAAUUACAUGUUGUUUUGCCAAAAUUAUUUGUGAGAUGUAUGAUAUUUAAUAAUGUAAACAAAGUUCAAAGCAAUUAAGGUAUUUUGUUUCAUUUCUUUAAAGUGUUUUAUGCACCGUCUGUACUUAGCCACUAUUUAGCUUACAAAUAGACCGACUACGAAUAACCCACGUUUAGCCCAGAAAUAACCAUUAAUUUAAUUACAUGUUGUUUUGCCAAAAUGAUUUGUGAGAUGUAUGAUAUUUAAUCAUGUAAACAAAGUUCAAAGCAAUUAAGGUAUUUUGUUUCAUUUCUUUAAAGUGUUUUAUACACCGUCUGUACUAGCCACUAUUUAGCUUACAAAUAGACCGACUACGAAUAACCCACGUUUAGCCCAGAAAUAACCAUUAAUUUAAUUACAUGUGGUUUUUGCCAAAAUAACUUGUGAGAUGUAUGGUAUGUCAUUGUAAGCAAAGUUAACAGCGAUUACAAGGUUUGUUUAAUUUCUUUAAAGUGUUUUAUGCACCGUCGUACAUAGCCACUAUUUAGCUCAUAAAUAGACCGACUACGAACAAACCAUGUUUAGCCCAAAAUAACCUUGAAUUUAAUAAAAUUUUGUUUUUGCCAAAAUAACUUGCAAGAAUUAUGAUAUUUUAUCAGGCAUGCAAAGACACCAGGGAAAUUAAGAUGUUUGGUUUAAUUUAUCUUAUCUGAAUAUCUGCUGUCACGCAUAACAUUCAUUAUUUGACCGUAUUUCAAAGAUAAACAAAAUCCAGUUACAACUCCGAACCGCUAGAUGGCAGCAGUACACAAACACGAGGCCAUAUCUCGCGAGAAAGAUUUCCGCUGUUUGAAAAGCAACAACAUCAGCGAGCAGCCACGAGGAAAGUAUGUACCACACUCGUUUGGUCUUGUGUCAAAGCUGUGCGAAACUGGAGGGAGAAACUUGAGAGACCGUGCCGGAAGAAUGCUGGACAGAGUUCACUAAAAUUCAUUAAUUUCAAAGUUCAACAUGAAUGGUGGUGGUCCACUGCAGAAGCAAGCAUUUGAAAAAACAUCACUUCUCAGUUAUUAAAGAUGCUGUGUUGAACAACUUCCCAGCAGCAACAGAACUGGAAGUGAAGGAUGCAAUGGGGGCAUUUCAAACAGGCACCAGGGAGCACGGGAA